rnacentral:rRNA from 1 species
GAUGAACGCUGGCGGCGUGCCUAACACAUGCAAGUCGAACGAAAAGACCAGGUGUUUGCUCCUGUGACGGUAGCGGCGGACGGGGGAGUAACACGUGGAUAACCUACCUAUAAGACUGGGAUACUUUCGGGAAACCGGAGCUUAUACCGGAUAAUCUAUUGCACUGCAUGGUUCAAUCGUGAAAGACGGUUUUUCUGUCAGUUAUAGAUGAAUACGUGCCGGAUUAGCAAGUUGGUAAGGUAACGGCAUACCAAGGCAGCGACGCGUAGCCGACCCCAGAGGGUGAACGGCCACACUGGAACUGAGACAGGGUCCAGACUCCUACGGGAAGCAGCGGUAGAGAAUCUUCCGCGAGGGGCGAAAGCGUAACGGAGCAACGCCGCGGGAAUGAUGAAGGUGUUCGGAUCGGAAAGCUCUGUUAUUCGGGAAGAACAAAUGUGUAAGUAACUGUGCACGUCUUGACGGUACCUGGAGAGGAAGCCCCGGCUAACUACGUG